UACGUAGGGGCAAGCGUUGUCCGGAUUUAUUGGGCGUAAAGAGCGUGUAGGCGGUUUGGUAGGUCCGUUGUGAAAACUCGAGGCUCAACCUCGAGACGCCGAUGGAAACCAUCAGACUAGAGUCCGGAAGAGGAGAGGUGGAAUUCCGUGGUGUAGCGGUGAAAUGCGCAGAGUAUCAGGAAGAACACCCGUGGCUAAGGCGGCUCUCUAGUACGGUACUGACGCUGAGACGCGAAAGCGUGGGGAGCGAACAGG
rnacentral:rRNA from 1 species